GCACCAACAGUGGGUCCCUCAGGCCUCGAGCGCAAGCAUUCCAGCAGCCACCCAGACCAUGCUCCGCCGACUGGGCGCCCAAGCUGCAGUCGCCCUCUGUGUGCAGGCAGCAGCUGCCUGGCAACCCCCGAGCUCGCUCGCGCUGUCAGCAUCGCAGAACUAGGGCCAGGUGUCCCAGUGGCUGCGGCCAAGCCAGGCAUUCUGACCGGCGGCGGCGGCUGCACAGGAGCGAGAACUGAGAAGCCGCCGCUCAACCCCACACGGGGUGACUGCUGAGGGCCCAUACCAACGGCCCCGAUCUCCCUCAGGUGGAGGACUGGGCGGGAGGCACAGCCUGGGGGCCCUCAGGCUGGGCGCGCUGGCGAUCCCGAGGCCGACCAGGCCAUGCACCUCCAGCCCGCCUGGGCACCCAAGCUGCAGCCGCCUUCUGUGUGCAGGCAGCAACCUCCAGGCAACUCCCGAGUCCGCCCUCACUUCCCACAUCUCGGAACGAGGGCCAGAUGUCCGUGUGGCUGCGGCCAAGCCAGGCGGUCUGCCCUGCAGCAGCUGCACGGGGGCGGGAACCGGCCCUCAGCCCUAUCCCCCGUGGCUGCAGAGGGCCCUUGGCUAGAGGUGUCGAGCUCUGGCAUAGGAGGAGCCGGGCGGGGGCAGGGUCUGGCGGGCUCUCAGGCCAGGAGCACUUGCGAUCCAGAGGCCGCCCAGGCCAUGCUCACCACCUGGGCGCCCAGCUACAGGCGCCAGGCAACUCCCAAGCUGGCUGGCGCGCCCAGCCUCGCAGACCCGGGCCUGGAUGUCGCCGUGGCUGCGGCCAAGCCAGGCGGUCUGCUCGGCGGCGGCUGCACCGGGGCAGGAACCGACCCUCAGCCCCAUCCCCGGUGGCUGCGGACGGCCCCUGGAGCGGCCCCGACGUCUCUUCGGAGGAGAAGAGGGGUGGGAGUCACGGCCAGGCAGGCCCUCAGGCGGGAAGGGAUGCGCGCCUGCGAUUCCGGGACGUACCGCGCCAGCCCAGGAGAACCCGGAAGCCAGCAGCUCUUGUUUCUCUGUGUGUUUCUGUGAGGAACCACCAAAUUGUUUUCCACGGCAAGUGCAUCAUUUUCUAUUCCUAGCAGCCAGUUCAUGAGGGCUCCAAUUUCUCCACCUCCUUAGCAACAUUGAUUUUCUGUGUCGUUGUUAUGAAAGCCUUACUAGUGGAUGCAAAGUGGUAUCUCAUUUGGGUUUUGUCUUGCAUUUUAUUAAUGAAUAACAGUGUUUAGCAUCUUUUCUUAUCCGUCUUACACAUUUGUGUAUCUUCUUCGGAGAAAUGUCUAUUCAAGUCCUUUGCCUAUUUUUUAAUUGGGAUGUUAGAAAUUCUGAUGUUGAGUUGUGGGAUAUUAAGCUUUUAUCAGAUACGCACUUUGAUUUUAUCAGAUACAUAUUUUCUCACAUACUAUGGGUUGUCUUUUCACUCCCUUGAUAGUAUCCUUUGAUGCAUAAAGGUUUUUUAUUUUGAUUAAAUCUAAUUUACGUGUAUUUUCUUUUGUUAUCUGUGCUUUUCUGUCAUAUUUCAAAAUACACUUAAAACUCAAAGGUCAUAAAGGUUUACCUUGUGUUUUCUUCUAAGAGUUACAUACUUUAGUCCUUACAUGUAAGUCUUUUAUUAAUUUAGAAUUAAUUUUCGUGUAUACUGCAAGGUAGGGGUCUAACUUCUCUCUUGUGCACUGACAUCCAGCUGUUGAAGAGACUGUUCUUUCCUCCCUUGACUAGACUUGGACAGCUUGUUGAACAGUCAUUGACCAUAUAUGUGAGCGCUAAUUUGUAGGAUCUUAAAUCUGUUCUAUUGUAUUGGUCUAAAAGUCUAUUAGUCUUAUGCCAGUACCACACUCUCUUGAUUACUGUAGAUUUGUAGUAGGCUGUGAAACUGAAAAAUGUGAGUUUUCUAAUAUUCUUUUUCAAGACUGUUUUGUCUGUCAGAUCCUUUGAAUUUUUGUAUGAAUUGUAGAAUGAGUUUCUUUCUUUCUGCAGAAAUGCCUUUGGGAUUUUGAUGGUAUUGCAUUGAAUCUGUAGAUUACUUUAGAUGGUAUUGUCAUCUUAACAGUAUUGUCUUACAACCCGUGAACACAGAAUGUCUUUCCGGUUAUUUCCACUCUCUUUCGUUUUUUUCAGCAAAGUUUUGUGUAUACCACCAUGGUUAGAUUUAUGCCUGAAUAACUUAUUCUUUGAUGCUAUUAUAAAUGGAAUUUUUAAAAUAUUUUCAUAGUUCUUUACAACUAUAUAGAAAUAUAGCUCAUUUGCCUAUGUUUGUUUUGCAUCCUGCCUCUUUUAUUAGUUAUAAUCGGUUUUGUGUUUUAUUUGGAGCUUUAUACACAUAAGAUCAUGUGUAGAUAUAAUUUUACUUCUGUUUUUUAUUUCUAAUUUAGAUGCCUUUUAUUUCUUUGUCUUGCCUAAUUGCUCUGGCUAAAAUUGCCAGUGGUACAUUGAACACAAGUGGCAAAUGCACCAUGCUUGUCUUGUUCUAGAUGUUAGGAAAACAGCUUUCAGUGUUUCAUCAUUGAUCAUGAUAUUAACUGUUGGGUUUUUGUACAUCCUAUUGUCAUGUUGCAGAAAAUCCCUUCUAUGCCUAGUUUAUUGAGUAUUUUUAUUAUAGAAGGGUGUUGUAUUUCAUCAAUGUUUUCUCUGCAUCAAUUGAAAUAAUCACGUGCUUAUUCAUUUUACUGUUAGAGUAUAUUACACUGAUUGAUUUUUUAUAUGUUGAGCCACCCUUGCAUUUUGGGGAUAAAUCUCACAGGGUGAUAGUUUACAAUCCUUUGAUUAUACAGUAUUGCUGCUAGUAUUUUGCUAGUAUUGCUAGUAUUUUGCUGAGAUUUUUGCUUAUAUAUUCAUAAGGGAUAUUGUGCUGUAGUUCUCUUUUUGUGCUCUCUUUGGCUUUGGUAUAAGGAUAAUGCUGUUAUCAAAAAAUGAAUUAGCAAGUAUUCCUUCUUCAUAUAUUAUGUCAGAAGAGUUUGAGAAGAAAUGGUAUUAAUUCUUCUUUAAAUGUUAGGUUGACUCACCAGUUAAUGCAGCUAUUUGGUCAUAAAUGUUUCUUUGUUAAUCACUUUCGAUUACUAAUUCAAUCUCCUAGGUUAUAGGUCUAUUCAGAUUUUCUCUUUCUUCUUGAGCCACUUUGGUAGUUUGUGUCUUUCUAGUGAUUCGUCCAUUUCAUCCAGGGCAGCUAAUUUGUUGUUAGACAGUUGUUCACAGUAUACUCCUGUAAUCCUUUUGUAUUUCUGUAAAGUUGGUAGUAAUGGCUCUGCUUUCAUUUAUUAUUUUAAUAAUUAGUCUUCCAUCUUUUGCUCAGUCAAUAUAGUGAAAGGCUUGAUCUUUCAAAUAAUCUAUGUUUAUUCAUUCUACUGCUCUCCAAACUUCUAUUUUAUUGAUUUAUGCUCUAAUUAUGCUCUCUAUUAUUUCUUUCAUACUGCUAGCUUUGGAUUUAGUCUUAUUUUGUCUUCUUCCACUGCCUUUAGGUAUAGAGUGAGGAUGUUGAUUUCAGAUUUUUCUUAAAUGUAGUUGUUUAUAUCCAUACAUUUUCCUUUGAACUCUACUUUCACUGCAUUCAAUAAGUUUUGGUAUGUUUUGUUUUUAUUUUAAUUUAUCUCAAGAUAUUUUAUAAUUUUGCUUGUGAUUUAUUUUUUUCACUCACUGGUAGUUGAAGACUGUAUUGUUUAAUUUCCACAUUUUCGUGAAUUUUCCAGUUUUCACUUAUUUAUCUGUUGUUUCUUCCAUUGUGGUUGUAAAUUAUAUUUUGUAUGAUUUCAAACUUUUAAAAAUGAUUAGGACAUAUUUUGUGGACGAAGAUAUGGCCCAUCCUAGAGAACUUCCAUAUACACUUGAAAGGAAUGUAUAUUCUGCUGUUGUUGGAUGGACUGUCCUGUAUAUGCGUAUUAGCUCUCAGUGGCUUAUACCGUUGUUUAACUCUUGUAUUUCUCAUGAAGCUUCUGUCUGGUUUUUCUAUCCAUUAAUUAAAAUGAGGUAUUGAAGUGUCCAACUGUGACUAUAGAACUGUGGGUUUAUCCUUUCAAUCCUGUUAAUUAUUUCAGCUUUACUGAGGUGUAAUAGAGAAAUAAAAAUUGUACGUGAUGCGUUU
rnacentral:lncRNA from 1 species